rnacentral:lncRNA from 1 species
AGGCUGGACUGUGUCUCCGCUCGGCUUUUGUCUUGUAACCAAACUCUAGUGGCUUCUUGUGUUGUCUCAGCGUGAUCACCCUGUUCAAGAUGUUUAACUGUAUUAAAGAGUUAUUUGUGGGCAUUUAUGGCGGGCCAAUAUAUUUCACAGUGAAAGCUUUGCACCGAAGAAAAAAGAACUUCAACAGGUCAUCAGUGGCCCAGUGGAGGAGGUGCACAGUACAGGAAGACUUACCUCGUUGGCAGCUGAUAAUGAUUCUUCACUGGCCAAGCUGAAGCAGUUGUUGGCUCUGACAGUGUGGCCUGGAAUGGAAGUCACUCGGUACGUCACCCGGUGGACCGGUUCCAGCGCAGCGCUACAGUAAGCCGAACUCCACCCCCCAGUCACUGCCUCCAAACCAAGAGCCUCUAACCCAGGUGACACACUCUGCACCUUACCAAGUUGGUGGAAGCUGAGGUGAUAUUGGACACACAGCUGGCAUAUAACCAGCUGCCCUACAUGGAAGCGCUGGUGUUGUGUUCAGCCGUGGCAACCAAACAAAGUGACCGGAAGAAGCUGGUGACUGACGCUCACUCGACAGUGUGGGAGCUGUGUACAGACACCCACCUCUUCUUUCUCUUCAUUCAAAUAUCUAAGAUGAUCUCAAAGCAAGCGGGACACUCGGGUUGGGGUCGUGGGCUGUGUGGUACCUGAGCUGGGAGCCUCGACGCCUUGGAGUUCACACGACACUACAGCGCGUACUGGUGGACCCACCGCGACGUCGUCAGAUUAGCACACUUGAAGCUUCGUGUUGGUCACACAAAAUAUAUAUAUGUGUAUAUAUAUUAGUUCUUGAUUUGAUAAGUGGCAGGACUGAAGUAAACACUUUAUUGGUUUUAUUUUAUUGUAGAAAAAUAUAGUUUC